rnacentral:rRNA from 1 species
UACGUAGGGUGCAAGCGUUCAUCGGAAUUCCUGGGCGUAAAGCGUGCGCAGGCGGCUUUGCAAGACAGAUGUGAAAUCCCCGGGCUUAACCUGGGAACUGCAUUUGUGACUGCAUGGCUGGAGUGCGGCAGAGGGGGAUGGAAUUCCGCGUGUAGCAGUGAAAUGCGUAGAUAUGCGGAGGAACACCGAUGGCGAAGGCAAUCCCCUGGGCCUGCACUGACGCUCAUGCACGAAAGCGUGGGGAGCAAACAGG